AGCCCGCGCAUAGGAAACACCUACUCCCUACACGCUCCUUGAACUAGAUUUGAAAAAUUAUUAACAUUGAGAAGGGAAGAGUCAGAAGAUCGAUGGUGACUCGGUGAGACAUGUAUGAAACCUGACAUGGAAGUGUGGGUCACUCGGGUACUGUGGCACGAUGAAAUGUCCAGGCAGCAAACCGGGUGCCCAACUUCUUAAAAAGACACUUGUUCGUGGAGCGAUCGAGGUGCGGUGAGGUGUUCUGUCAAAGCGUCGGAGGGGAGAUUGUAUUUAGCGGACGAUAUUGUUUGAUGUGGUAAACAAUGAAAUUUUGGAUAACUCACCAGGAUGUCGCGUCUGAAGUUCGAUUUUAUAGCAAUACAUUAUCCUGAUGUUCUAAAAGUUAUGUUAAUGUUAAUAAGUGUAUUGCGAAUAUUAACGUGUUACAAGAUCACUGAGUAACGGAAAUAUUAGGAUACCAUAAAGAAAAUAUUAAAGGGAUGUAGCUGACGUUUGUCUCACACACACACACACACACACAGAGAGAGAGAGAGAGAGAGAGAGAGAGAGAGCCUGGCGCCACACUAUCUCAUAACGACCUGCUGGCCCUCCCCCUCCCACUCACCUGGCAGGGCGUCUUCCAAAGAUGUGGAAUAGUUGAAGCUCGUGCCCCAACACACACACACACACACACACACACAAGUCAAUCAAGCAGUCGGGAAAGCAAUCAUUACAUUAAUAAAUAAAUUGAAAACAAAUCAAUCAAACAAAAGGUAAACCACAAUAAAUAAGGAAAAUAAAAUGACAAGACAGCGACGGCAAGUAUUACCUAAACAAAGAUGGCGGGGCGGGCAAUGAAACAAUCGCUACGGAGGCCCGAUUCAGACGUGAUUUCCCGCGUGUCCCUAUGGCGGCCGGGGUACUCGCUGCUGUCAGGGUAGGUGGCGCCCUUCCUGGUGCUAUCGGCGGGUGUGGGCGGCGGAGAAAUUGGCGACAUAAGAUGAUGGUGAGAUGUAGCAGUGCCGUGGGUCAAUCAAGUGUCCUGCUUUCUCGCCUGCUAUUGGUCCAUUGCCACCAGGUGCAUGCCCAUGUGCGUGCAGGAGAGAGCAUCCAAUAGAUCCAAUAGAUCAACAUCCAAUGGAUGAAGGAGAGCAUUUCUGGCCUGGACAACCCCAGAAUAGUCACAGAUAAUCAGGAUAGUUGACUACUGGACCUGACUACUGACUCCAAGCUGCAUGUCCUCUAUGGCAGCACCAAAAUAGUCCAGCAUGCUCCAUCUUUCAAGACUACUACUGCCCUCAGAGGCCCAGCGGACCCUGAGAGGAGCGGGUACAAACCUGCUGGAGUGUCCCUUGAUCCUGACAUUGGUGGUGCUGUUGGAGUUGCCUAUCAAGCUGUCCCUGGCUGUCAACAUCUCACUGCUGUCUCUCUCCAAGCUGUGUCUCAAAAUUCUGAAGUUCCUUUGAUACCUUGAACACUUUGAAGGAAUUUUCAGGUAGUCACAGCCUGCCACUCACUAGUAUACCUGGAGGAAGGACUGGUAGGUGACCCACAGGAGAAGGCAACCCUGGCAAAAACAGAUUGGAUCCUGACAAAAGAAGAGAUAAUUGGUUGGCUCUGUGUGAUGAGCAAUGCUUUGUCUCUGAGGGCAACCCCCAGAGCCACACACCAGCAGCAGCAGGAAGAUGAGGAGGAAAGGACAUUCACUUCCUGCCUUAUCCAGUGUGACUGGGGCUUCUUCCAGCAGCUGGCCAGGGUGCAGAGACAGGCUGAGCAAGGUGGUAAUGGAGAGGGUGGCCAGCUUGCCCCUCCUGGCAGCCAACCAGAGCACAGUGGCAGCCAUGCUAUCUGUCACCAUCCACCAUCAUCUUUCAGAAGUGAGCGUACACCCCAGGGAGAUGCACAGCACACAGCCACAGCACAGGCAGGCCCCAGCACCAUCACCAUCAGCCUCCCACAGCUGGACACCACAGCUGCAGCACUGUGUAACACCUGUGGCAGCAGAGAAGAAACAUGUCACAAUGGAGAAGGAAAGGCUGCAGGAGGAACACAAGACAGUAGAGGAGUUAUUGUUGCAAAGAAUGUUAUCAGUGUUCUUCUGGCCAACUGUUAUCAAAUUGAACAGGUGGAGACUUGAGACACAGUGAACAACAAAUACAAAGAGAGUCUGGCCAAGGCAAAGCAAACCCAGGAGACCAAGAAGAAAUGAGAGGAGAGGAAGAGAUUGCCACUCUCAGAACCUGCUCAAGAGAACCUAGAACGAAGAACCAAUGCCCUCACCACCAGCAAGAAUGAAAUGCCCUAGGUCACCACCAACACCAGCAACAGCACCUCUGCAUCACCACACAUUAUCAAGGAGGAGGAGGAGCCAGACAGUAAACACACUGUUGUUCAUCUCAACAUUGCCAAGAAUAAGAAGAGGUUGAAGAACCUAAAGUGUUCCUUAACAAUGGAGGAAGCAGCGGUGUGGUAGUACCUCAGAGUCUGCUGUGCUGGGAGGAAGAGGGGAACAACAGCAGUAGUAGUAAAAGUGUUCAGCAGUGGUGGGGCUUUGCUGCUGUCACUGGUACAGCUGUUCACUCCUUCAGCUGUCUUGCCUCACCUGUAAUGAACAACUAUGAACACCUCUCCAGUGAUGAAGAAUGGUGAAUCUGCAUGAGCAAGAAUGAACAACACCUACUUCACUUCAUAUGAAUGCAAGUCUCUCUCUCUCUCGCUCUCUCUCUCUCUCUCUCUCUCUCUCUCUCUCUCUCUCUCUCUCUCUCUCUCUCUCUCUCUCUCUCUCUCUCUCUCUCUCUCUCUCUCUCUCUCUCUCUCUCUCUCUCUCUCUCUCUCUCUCUCUCUCUCUCUCUCUCUCUCUCUCUCUCUCCUCAGCCCACAGACCCACAGUAUGUCCCCCCACAAUAUGUUUAUAAACCCACAGUGACUCUGCAUAACCCCUCACCAAUGAUUGUCUCCCUCACACACAUACACUCAGCAUUACAUAUACAAAUGUUGCAUCUAGUACAGUGCCUACAAUAAGAAUGGACAUAAAAUCAACAAGCCUAAUUUUCUUCCAGCCUGCAUGAAUGUAGUGUGGCUCAAUAUGUACAAGUGAAGAGUAUAUUAGAUGUAUAACUCAAAAGAUAUGGAAACUUACACAAAAAUACAGGACACAAGUUGAUGAGUAUGAUGGCGAGUGUCAGUCAAAAUGCUCAACUUUGAACAACAAAAAGUGAAAAAAAAAAUCAAAGGUGAAUAAACUUGCCAACAUACAAUAAACAGACAGUGAAAAGAAUAAACACUAUAAAAAAUUAAUCCCAAAUAAAGACUGAAAAAAUAUAUACCAACACAAAAUAAUGAAAAAAUGAAGACUAAGUAAAGCAAAUUAAUCUGAAUGCUAAUAAAUAAACCAGCAUGGUAUAUUUAAAGACUAUGAUGAAAGAUAAUGAAGCUUAAACAUUGAGAGAGAGAGAGAGAGAGAGAGAGAGAGAGAGAGAGAGAGAGAGAGAGAGAGAGAGAUUCCAGGCCCCUCUGAUCCAAACCUGUGACCUUGAUGCAUCUUGGCAGUGCCUCCGACUGUGACCUGUGGUAUCCUGCAGGACCCCUAGUCAUGUCCUCUGUGCCUCUGCUUCUCAGGGACUCAACAUGUGGAGCUGGCGUCCCACACAGAGUUGAGGUGGCAGCCUCUGUGGUGUCCCAUGUCCUCACUCAUCCCUGUCUACUGUGCUUUACAUCCUGUGUUCUCCCCCAGCCACAGAGAUACAAUUGUCCUCCUGUGUGCCCAGUGUCCUUCACAGUUCCUCCUCUGCCCACAUGUACUGUACCAAGCUGCUUGUGUCCUGGGCGGCACGUGUGUCUGUCAGGGUGUGUCCAAUUCUGCACUGUGAGAACUGGUGUGCUCAUUUUCAUGCCUUCUGCUGAUGUUGUUGUGGGUGUUGACUGCAGAUUACAUCAUGUAUUGCACAGCAGUGGUUAUUAUAUGAGAUCCAAUGUAACCCCUGAAAAGUACAAAUGUACCACUGGGGGUGCGUAUACUCCAGGUUGGGAACCUCCAUUCUGGACAAUGACCUGGGAGGAAGACAAAAAGACAAUGCAGAUGUUUUCCCUAAGGACUGGCAGGGAUGUAGGGAACCUGUGGUAUUCCCUUGGGAGGGAGAUAGGAAGGAGAAAGCUUAAAAAUAGAUCAGACUGGCCACGUGAAGAUAGAGCAUGUGGAAUGCUGGACAAUGAAAUACAUGAGUGAUGAAUAUAUACACUAAUAAUUGUUAUGACUGAUGCGGCUGAUACACCUGCAAUGAAUAUAAUAGUUAUC